CAAUCUCAGGAGCCUCACAUUCCUCAAGACAAACGCUGUGCUAGGGUAGAGAGGGUCAGCAUUAUUCCUGCUGUGGUUUCAUUACCUCCACCCUGGGGAAACUGGAUCCCAGGAUGAAAACGGGGAUAUACCCAAGAUGUACACAAUAAAGGAGUAAGAUGGUCGAAGAGUAAGCCAGCCUUGGUCUGAUGGGGAAAAUGAAGAAAGAUGUUAAAAGCGAAAAGGACAGGACAUCAGAGCCUGCAGAUGUGACUGAAGGGCAAAGAGGCAAAAAAGUGGUGAGGAGGAGAGAGGUGGGUCAGGCGGCUUUUAAAGGACCAGGUGGACCUCGGAAGGAGAUGGGUCGUGUUACCAAGGACAGCUGCAAGAGACCUCCAGGCACCAAGUCCAAGGACUAAGUCAGCAGUGUUCAGCUUCCCUCCCCUCCCCCCAUCUUGUCUUCUUCCUCCUCCUCUUUCUCCUCCUCCUCCUCUUUUGAGUCAGAGUCUCAUUACAUAGCCCUGGCUGGGCUGGAGCUCACUCUAUAGACCAGGCUGGCCUUGAACUCAGAGAUCCACCUGCCUCUGCCUCCCAGGUGCCAGGAUUCAAGACGUGUACCAUCGUACCCUAUUUGGUCUGUACUCUUGUUCUUGGGAUAUGUUGUUUGUUGUGGGGUACUUACCAGAGAAGACUGCUUGGACAUGGGUUUAAGAAAGUCUUUAUUAGCCAGCCAGUGACUACACUGGGUGUUCAGGAUCUCAGUGUAGCCCUGCGCCUUCCUCACGAUGAGCCUGUCCUGGGAUGACAUACUUCAGUUAACAAGAAUAGUUAGCCAGAAGCGGAACUACAGAAGCCAAAAAACAAUAUUAGUACAUUUACAGACUUUCCCAGAACUCUGGACUUGGAUGGAAUAGGCCUUUGUUUUUAUUUUUGUCAGGUGGUGCUGUCUACGAGCUGAGUUUUACAGCCUGAGUGACACUUCCAUCAUGGAGUCAGUUGUGCUAAGGUCUGAGGCCCUGUUGCAGUGUGAGCAGAAAUAAAGCAAAAACAGGAGAGAAGAAAGUGCCCAGGUAGAAAUGGUUUACAAAAUGACGCACAACCAGUAAAGUCUUUGCUUGGUAAAUGACAGGGUUGCAGAUGUCGUUUGAAUGUUUCUCUAAAACUAACACAUGGCCUGAAUCAUUUUGAACAGUGAAAACAAACCUUAACGGUGGAACUGAAUCCUGUGUAUCAAAUGCUACGCACCCCUGGUUCACUCAGCGACAGUGAAUAAUGCUUGUAAAAUGCCUGCACCACACCAUAUUAACAUGGGGUUGAUGAAGAGAGUCGCUUGCUGAGAGAGAGCCAGGAAAGUAGAAAAACAGAGAAGCAAGCUGUAGCCAUUCUGUCAACAACCCAAGGACUUCUGGGCUAAGCCCUUAGCAGGCCUCUGGGCUCCCAUGAGGAGCCAGGGAGACUAGUUGUCCACAAGGGGGCGGUAUCUAGCCAAUCCUCAGCCCAGUAGCUGAAGGAAGUUGAGUGACAGAGGUCAGAAUUCAAGGUCAGCCUGGGCUACAAGAGACCUUGACUCUUAGGAAACAACCAACCAAACAAAAAUAAACAGAGGGUGGUAAGAUUUCUCUAAACCAGAAAACCCUCUGACUCACAAGCCUAUGGCCAUACUACCAGCUCAGCCCUUCCAGGUCAUCCCUAAAGACAGAAAAGUCCUGCCCCCAGGCAAAGGUCUCUCUAGGGAAGGACGCUAGGCUGUUAUGUCUGAAGCUGAGAGUCGGGACAUCUUCAAAUUCUCAGAUCUGAACAAAUCAGGAAGGUGUCCCUACCUCCUCCUAAAUCCCGGCUCCCAAAUCGUCAUCUUGACCAGGAAAGAAAACGAAUGAUCUGACCAGCGCCCCAAGGGAAAUAAAAGAUUAUCACUCCGACAGCAGUAAAACAUGAACACGUGUGCGCCCCUUUUCCCUGGUGUGUAACUGGCAUCUGCACACAGACACACACUGCACUUGUAGAAUUGGGGUUCUGAUUCUGAGGCUUUGGGAAUUACCAGCAGGGGCGGGUGUCAAUUCAGAUCGGGUGCCCUUCUCCACAGAGUGUCUGCAGUAGUAGGGCUGGAAGCAAGCGAGCCUGAGACCUGGCGCUUCUGUGUUUUGGGAGGUGUUGAUGCUGUUUGGUGGAGAGUGGGGUUAUGCUGAUGAUGGUAUAGGACUUGUGUGUCUAUUUCCUACUUUCUCAUUAGCUUUGGCAUCUUUAGAAAUAAACCUCCCCCAAGGCUGAAGAAGAAACUCAAGUGAAGAGAGUCCAUCCUAAGGAUAAUUCCUGAUAUCCGUACUUAAUCCUUGUAACUCCCAGGAAGUAGGCAUCCUUAUUUCCAUUUCCAAAUAGGAAAGCAAAAAUCUCCAAAAGGCUGGUGAAUCUUGGAGCCUGGAUUUGAUCUUGGUCAAAGUUCCUGCUGGACAUUCUAGCUCCAGGGUAAAGAAGCUGAUUGACUGAAAUAAGGAGAGAGAACGUGCAAACGUAAGUGAUUUUUCAGCGAAAGUGUAAAGGCAAGCACUGUAGGAAAGCUUGGUAAUGACAAUCAGGAUCAGAGGCACACGGGAGGCUGCCCUGGUGUAACAGGAAAUGCAUAGCUCCUGAAGAGACCUCCGUGUCAAGCAGAGCCCAGCGGGCAUUUGAGAUGAUGUCGCUGCUAGAGUCCUGACCUGCCUCACAGAAUAGAACACUAUGCAUUAUUUAGACCAGAACGUCCUUUCUAUUUUUGCAUUCUGAAGAAAAGAGUGUUCAUGGCAAAGGCUGUUGGGUUUGUUUUUUGUUUUGUUUUUAAGCUUUUAGUAGAUCAGAAUUCCCCAAGCUAUCUUUCCUUUAAAUGAUGAAUCCAAAGAGUGGAAAAACGGAUGUUUAAGUGCCCAGGAAACUGAUUAACACAUUUCACGGUAUUUAGAUUUCUGCCUCUAAAUGAAAACAAUACCUUUUUAUUAGUCAAACAGUGGACAUUUGGGUUCUGAGGUUUGAGUUUGGUGUGUGUGGACAGGAGAGGGUUCUAUAAACAGCAGGGCAUUACCAGGAAAUCUAGCUUUUGUGUAAAAUAAUCUUGAUAUCCAAAAUAGAUGUGUAUCAGUCAUGUCUUAGGUAAUAAGCAGUCUUUUCCUUAUUAGCAAGGGUCAAUAUGAAAAGAAAUCCAGUUCUGAUGCAUUCCAUUACACAGAAUUUAACUCAAUCUACAGAUCUUUCUCUGUGCAAUUCAAGCAUUACCUUCAAGAGACUUGUAAUUUAAACUGGGCCUGAUGGCACACCUGUAAUCUUGUCACUGGGGAGGCGGAGACAGAAGGAUGACAAGUCAAAGACUUACCUGGGCUGCACAGCAAGACCCUGUUGAAGGAGGAAGGGAGGAAUUUCAUCUGAAAAG